rnacentral:lncRNA from 10 species
AGGCAAGGAGCAUCUCAUUCAUUCACAGACAAGACUGAGCUGGGCCAAAGGUCUCUGUACUGGAUCUCAUCUUCUGUCUUCCAAUCCACAUCCUUUUGGGCAUGAGCAGAAAGACUGAGUCUCACUCUGUCGUCCAGGCUGGAGUGUAGUGGUACAACCUCCACCUCCUGGGUUCAAGUGAUUCUCCUGCCUCAGCCUCCCAAGUAUGUGGGACUACAGGUGUGCACUACCAGGCCCGGCUAAUUUUUUUUUUGUAUUUUUAGUAGAGACGAGGUUUUGCCAUGCUGGUUGGGCUGGUCUCGAACUCCUGACCUCAAGUGAUCUGCCUGCCUCGACCCCCCAAAGUGCUGGGAUUAUAGGUGUGAGCCACCAUGGCUGGCCUGAACUUCAGAUUUUUUAUCUGUAAGGAGGGGUUAGGAGGCCUAAAUUAAGUCACCCAUAAAAAGGCCAUGUCACAUGCAGUCAGUGCUUAGCAAGGGGCUAUUUUAAUCGUCACACUCACCAGUCAGAGACACAAAUCUCAAUCCUGCCACUAUCCAGCAGUUCUGGCCACAGACCCUCCUCCUCUAGGUCCAAGACCUGCUUCUUGCAACACCAGCUGGGAAUGCAGGAGACAGGGUAAUGAGAACAGGCAGGCCUUUCUCAACAAGGGGCCGGACCUUUGGAUAGCAGGGGCAUUCACCUGAAUGAAGUCACGAAGCACGUCUGAGAAGGGGCCCCAGGCACGGUUGUCCUGUUUUCCUCCACCACCCAGCCGUCCCCACCGUGUUGCACCAUCCACUUUCGGAGGCCUUCUG